GGUGUAGAAGAGAGGUGAAGUCGGAAGAAGAAAACCUAGGGAGGCGUUAUUUCUCUGAAGAAGUGUGUUCAGACAAGGACAUUCUACUCUGCACUUAAUUUUGAGACUCUAGGUGUGGUAGUUUCGGUGUUUGAGGGUGUUGGUGUUCGAGGUGAGUGGAAGGUCAAGUUGCUGGAGUGAUAGGUACUACUACUUCUGAGGAGCCUGCCGAGCUCAGGAGGAGCUUGUUGAGCAAUCUUCUCCGGUCCCGAUGGAAGUUAAAAGAACACGCAAGGGAAACCACAAAGAUGCUUCAGGCUUAUACGUUCAGGAUCCUGCAUCGGCCAUAGCUCCUGUUCAAAUUCACCCGUCCUGAUAAAGGAAGCUGGAUGAUGGCAUCUUUCUACGUUCAGGAAUCGUCCAGCGAGAAGCUCUCAUGAUGGGAGCAAGCUUUAAAGAUUGUCCUGUCAGUUUCAAGACCUUUGUUGAUUUUGGCUGGCUUUCCUCCUGCAUAAGUUUUUUUUUUUUUUGUUGCCUUUGGCCAGCAUUCCCUCUUGAAUAAAAAACAUUGCUUCCUUUCUUUUUUUUUUGGCCUUGGCCAGCAUUUCCCUCUUGAAUAAAAAAGCAUCGCUUCCUAUUUCUGAUGUUAGCCACUUGGGUUGGCAUGUAAUUCAUUUAGCUGUGUACUUUUGCAAAUAAAUUAUAGUUUAAA